rnacentral:rRNA from 1 species
GACGAACGCUGGCGGCGUGCUUAACACAUGCAAGUCGAACGGAAAGGCCCUGCUUUUGUGGGGUGCUCGAGUGGCGAACGGGUGAGUAACACGUGAGUAACCUGCCCUUGACUUUGGGAUAACUUCAGGAAACUGGGGCUAAUACCGGAUAGGAUCUCCUGCUGCAUGGUGGGGGUUGGAAAGUUUCGGCGGUUGGGGAUGGACUCGCGGCUUAUCAGCUUGUUGGUGGGGUAGUGGCUUACCAAGGUUUUGACGGGUAGCCGGCCUGAGAGGGUGACCGGCCACAUUGGGACUACGAGACGGCCCAGACUCCUACGGGAGGCAGCAGUGGGGAAUAUUGCACAAUGGGCGGAAGCCUGAUGCAGCAACGCCGCGUGCGGGAUGACGGCCUUCGGGUUGUAAACCGCUUUCGCCUGUGACGAAGCGUGAGUGACGGUAAUGGGUAAAGAAGCACCGGCUAACUACGUG